rnacentral:snRNA from 1 species
GGAUAUGAGGGCGGUGUGGCUGCAACAGCUGGCACCACAUUGGUGGCCGGGCCAUUUCGGCUGGCUGGUGGGCAGGUGUCCCCUCACUGCUGCACAUGCAGUUCUCCUGCAGCUGUGCUCUCUGCUGAAGAGGGUGACCUUACCCAGUGAGGGGCACUGUGCUCCCCGCGGUGACAGAGCCUCCAGACAAGGCCUGUGCAUAGUA